rnacentral:rRNA from 1 species
GACUAACGCUGGCGGCGUGCUUAACACAUGCAAUUCGAACGGAAAGGCCCUGCUUUUGUGGGGUGCUCGAGUGGCGAACGGGUGAGUAACACGUGAGUAACCUGCCCUUGACUUUGGGAUAACUUCAGGAAACUGGGGCUAAUACCGGAUAGGAGCUCCUGCUGCAUGGUGGGGGUUGGAAAGUUUCGGCGGUUGGGGAUGGACUCGCGGCUUAUCAGCUUGUUGGUGGGGUAGUGGCUUACCAAGGCUUUGACGGGUAGCCGGCCUGAGAGGGUGACCGGCCACAUUGGGACUGAGAUACGGCCCAGACUCCUACGGGAGGCAGCAGUGGGGAAUAUUGCACAAUGGGCGGAAGCCUGAUGCAGCAACGCCGCGUGCGGGAUGACGGCCUUCGGGUUGUAAACCGCUUUCGCCUGUGACGAAGCGUGAGUGACGGUAAUGGGUAAAGAAGCACCGGCUAACUACGUGCCAGCAGCCGCGGUGAUACGUAGGGUGCGAGCGUUGUCCGGAUUUAUUGGGCGUAAAGGGCUCGUAGGUGGUUGAUCGCGUCGGAAGUGUAAUCUUGGGGCUUAACCCUGAGCGUGCUUUCGAUACGGGUUGACUUGAGGAAGGUAGGGGAGAAUGGAAUUCCUGGUGGAGCGGUGGAAUGCGCAGAUAUCAGGAGGAACACCAGUGGCGAAGGCGGUUCUCUGGGCCUUUCCUGACGCUGAGGAGCGAAAGCGUGGGGAGCGAACAGGCUUAGAUACCCUGGUAGUCCACGCUGUAAACGGUGGGUACUAGGUGUGGGGUCCAUUCCACGGGUUCCGUGCCGUAGCUAACGCUUUAAGUACCCCGCCUGGGGAGUACGGCCGCAAGGCUAAAACUCAAAGGAAUUGACGGGGCCCCGCACAAGCGGCGGAGCAUGCGGAUUAAUUCGAUGCAACGCGUAGAACCUUACCUGGGUUUGACAUGGAUCGGGAGUGCUCAGAGAUGGGUGUGCCUCUUUUGGGGUCGGUUCACAGGUGGUGCAUGCCUGUCGUCAGCUCGUGUCGUGAGGUGCUGGGUUAAGUCCCGCAACGAGCGCAACCCUUGUUCACUGUUGCCAGCACGUUAUGGUGGGGACUCAGUGGAGACCGCCGGGGUCAACUCGGAGGAAGGUGGGGAUGACGUCAAGUCCUCAUGCCCCUUAUGUCCAGGGCUUCACGCAUGCUACAAUGGCUGGUACAGAGAGUGGCGAGCCUGUGAGGGUGAGCGAAUCUCGGAAAGCCGGUCUCAGUUCGGAUUGGGGUCUACAACUCGACCUCAUGAAGUCGGAGUCGCUAGUAAUCGCAGAUCAGCAACGCUGCGGUGAAUACGUUCCCGGG